GGCCAGACUCCUACGGGAGGCAGCAGUGGGGAAUAUUGCACAAUGGGGGAAACCCUGAUGCAGCGACGCCGCGUGAGCGAUGAAGUAUUUCGGUAUGUAAAGCUCUAUCAGCAGGGAAGAAAAUGACGGUACCUGACUAAGAAGCCCCGGCUAACUACGUGCCAGCAGCCGCGGUAAUACGUAGGGGGCAAGCGUUGUUCGGAGUGACUGGGCGUAAAGGGUGUGUAGGCGGUGUAGCAAGUUAGAAGUGAAAUACCUAGAGCUUAACUCAGGUGCUGCUUCUAAAACUGCUAUACUUGAGUGCAGUAGAGGAAAGUGGGAUUCCUAGUGUAGCGGUGGAAUGCGUAGAUAUUAGGAGGAACAUCAGUGGCGAAGGCGACUUUCUGGACUGUAACUGACGCUGAGGCACGAAAGUGUGGGGAGCAAACAGGAUUAGAUACCCUCGUAA
rnacentral:rRNA from 1 species